rnacentral:tRNA from 1 species
AGGGACCAGAGGGCUUCGAUCCCACAUCCUACUAGUUAACAGCUAGCACGCUCAACCAAUGACACUGAUCCC